UGAGGAAUAUUGGUCAAUGGGCGCAAGCCUGAACCAGCCAAGUAGCGUGCAGGAAGACGGCCCUAUGGGUUGUAAACUGCUUUCAGUCGGGAAUAAUUCGUCGGUCGUGACCGGCGUUGCAGGUACCGUCAUAAGAAGGACCGGCUAACUCCGUGCCAGCAGCCGCGGUAAUACGGAGGAUGCGAGCGUUAUCCGGAUUUAUUGGGUUUAAAGGGUGCGCAGGCGGGCGUCUAAGUCAGCGGUGAAAGUUCCCGGCUCAACCGGGUCAGUGCCGAUGAUACUGGGGGUCUUGAAUGCGGUCGAGGCCGGCGGAAUGUGGCGUGUAGCGGUGAAAUGCAUAGAUAUGCCACAGAACACGAUAGCGAAGGCAGCUGGCCGGGCCUGCAUUGACGCUGAGGCACGAAAGCGUGGGGAUCGAACAGGAUUAGAUACCCUGGGUAGU
rnacentral:rRNA from 1 species